CAGUAGCCACGGUAAUACGGAGGGCGCGAGCGUUACCCGGAUUUACUGGGCGUAAAGGGCGUGUAGGCGGCCUGGGGCGUCCCAUGUGAAAGGCCACGGCUCAACCGUGGAGGAGCGUGGGAUACGCUCAGGCUAGAGGGUGGGAGGGGGUGGUGGAAUUCCCGGAGUAGCGGUGAAAUGCGCAGAUACCGGGAGGAACGCCGAUGGCGAAGGCAGCCACCUGGUCCACUUCUGACGCUGAGGCGCGAAAGCGUGGGGAGCAAACCGGAUUAGAUACCCCCGUAGUCCCUGUCUCUUAUAC
rnacentral:rRNA from 1 species